GUCCUGGUAGCUCAGUUGGAUCAGAGUAUUUGACUACGAAUCAAAGGGUCGGGGGUUCGAGUCCCUCCCAGGACACCA
rnacentral:tRNA from 3 species